AAUUAAUGAUGAUUAGAUCAAUGCCUGACUUGAUAUCACCAUACAGUUUUGGUGUUGAUCAAGAUGUGACUAACUAAUCUUCUCUCUGAAAUA